GAGAUGUAUUCAGACGUCCUCUCUCCCAGCUCAUUCUCCGCUGUACAGUAAUAAUCUCCAGAGUCAGAGGACUGGAUGGAGCUGAAGAUGAGCUGAGUGCUUCUUUAUUGAAAGGAAGACGGUUUUGAUCUUCAUUCUCCUUGUACCAGGUGUAUCUAGCUGCUGGGUUAGCAUCACUGCUACAGGUCAGAGUCACUGAACUGCCCU